AUUCCAGCUCCAAUAGCGUAUAUUAAAGUUGUUGCAGUUAAAAAGCUCGUAGUCGAAUUUCAGGGCGGCGGGCACGGUCUGCCGAUGGGUAUGCACUGUGUCGGCCGCCUUUCCUGCUGGGGUCCGCGUCUGCACUUAACUGUGCGGGCGCGGGGAACAGCGCGUUUACUUUGAGAAAAUCAGAGUGUUUAAAGCAGGCCAAGAUUGCUCUUGCAUGGAUUAGCAUGGGAUAAUGAAAUAGGACUUUGGUGCUAUUUUGUUGGUUUCGAGUACCGAAGUAAUGAUUAAUAGGGAUAGUCAGGGGCACUUGUAUUCCGUUGAGAGAGGUGAAAUUCUUAGACCAAUGGAAGACAAACUACUGCGAAAGCAUUUGCCAGGGAUGUUUUCAUUA
rnacentral:rRNA from 1 species